rnacentral:rRNA from 1 species
CCUACGGGUGGCAGCAGUGGGGGAUAUUGCACAAUGGGGGAAACCCUGAUGCAGCGACGCCGCGUGAGUGAAGAAGUAUUUCGGUAUGGAAAGCUCUAUUAGCAGGGAAGUAAAUGACAGUACCUGACCCAGAUGCCCCGGCUAACUACGUUCCAGCAGCCGCGGUAAUACGGAGGGUGCAAGCGUUAUCCGGAUUUACUGGGUGUAAAGGGAGCGUAGAGGGUUAGGUAGGUCUGGAGUGAAAGCCCGCGGCCCAACCCCGAGACUGCUUUGGAAACUGGGUAACUGGAGUACAGGAGGGGCAGGCGGAAUUCCUGGUGUAGCGGUGAAAUGCGUAGAUAUCAGGAGGAACACCGACGGCGAAGGCGGCCUGCUGGACUGAAACUGACGUUGAGGCUCGAAAGCGUGGGGAGCAAACAGGAUUAGAUACCCGAGUAGUC